rnacentral:rRNA from 1 species
UACGUAGGUGGCAAGCGUUGUCCGGAUUUACUGGGCGUAAAGGAUGCGUAGGCGGACUUUUAAGUGGGAUGUGAAAUUCCGAGGCUCAACCUCGGCGCUGCAUUCCAAACUGGAAGUCUAGAGUGCGGGAGAGGAAAGUGGAAUUCCUAGUGUAGCGGUGAAAUGCGUAGAGAUUAGGAAGAACACCAGUGGCGAAGGCGACUUUCUGGACCGUAACUGACGCUGAUGCAUGAAAGCGUGGGGAGCAAACAGGAUUAGAAA